UACUUAUAAGCUGUGCUAAGCUAAACAGGUUUAGCGUGACUAGAAAAAUGUGCUUGUGUCCUAAACCAUGGUAUCAAACAACAUGCAAGAGUAGUAACAUGCAAUUUAAUAAUUGUUUUGAAUCUCUGGCAGCAGUGCAAAUAAUACAUGUCCACAGUAUAAAAUAAGCAGAUGAGGUGAAGUGUAUUCAACUCUCAACAGCAACCAGUGAGACAUUUCCUAUACAUAAUUUAUUCUUUGCUGCUUAUUUUCAAUAAAAACACAGAUUAAUAUAAAGUGCAAGUCUAUUUACAAAGCAGAAAUGCUUUAUUAAAGGAUUGUGUAGUAAUACAAUGCUUUGCAAAAGUAUGCUGUGUUUUUCUUCAGCAUUGUAGGUCAUGGCUUUACUUGUGACACAAAAAGGACAAACGUGUUUAAAGAAUCUCCUUCAUUAUAUCUAACAGAAACUGAGCCAUUUUGUCUCAAAUCAGGAAGAGACACACAUUAAAAACCUGCAGCAGAAUAUUAAUAACACGUUUCAUUGUGUGUGUGUGUGUGUGUUUUUUAAAGCAUAACUAUUUUUUCCCACUUGACAAUUCUGUUGGUCUGUCACAUGGAAUCCAUUUAAGUUUGUAAUUGGAACAGGGAAAAAUGUGGAAAAGCUGAAAAUAUAAGACCUUUGAUAAAUGGUUUUGGUCAAAUGUUUCACUAUGACAUCAAGACGACAGAAAAGGUUGCAAACAAAUUAUGUUAAAUUAAAAAGAAAGUCUUCUCUGUCCACACCAUGAUGCAGUAUCUUCACACCCUAAAAGUUCACGCUUGCUGCUUCGCUUACAUGAUUUAUGCAAAACUGCAGAAACAUUUAGUCACUUUUCAUGUACUUUAAAAAAGGCACUUUACAGGCUAAAGGGGAACCAUUUGAUAUGAUUUUAUCUGUCAACAUUAACUGUUUCAGAGUCUGGUUUAAGUUUUUAAAUGUUCAAAUUGCACUACAGAAAUCCUGCUGCCUCCUAGUGUUUGGAUGGAGAAGAAGCAAGUUUUACAGAUAUAAACAACUUUAAAAAGCAUCAUUAUAACCACAGAAACUUCACCGUUCAGUCACUGAGUCAGCAUGAGGAUCUUGUUCUCAGAAGAAUAAAACAGGCUGUAAAGGCUUGUGAAGCUCAGUGGUAUGAAACUCUGAAGAGUUUUACAGUGAAAGGUCAAGUCACUGGAAGUUAGGUCAGUUAAAGUCAUGAGCUGCAUUAUUGCUGGCUUGUGAAAAUAGAGUACAUAUCUGAUUUCUCUGCAUAAUGUUUCUUGUUUGAGGCACAUUAAACAGGACUUGAGCAUAAAAUCACCACAGAGAUUAAAGCUGGCAGUAGUUCACUCUGAUCCUUUGACCCUUUGCUCGAGAUGCCGUGCUCUUGGCCAUGAUGCAAAUCAGAACAACUGAUGUGUAAGUUGACUCCUGUAGAGAUUGUCCAGAAAA